GAAAUGCGAGAAGUAAUGUGAAUUGCAGAAUUCCGUGAAUCAUCGAAUCUUUGAACGCACAUUGCGCCCUCUGGCAUUCCGGGGGGCAUGCCUGUCCGAGCGUCAUUACGCACCCUCAAGCCCGGCUUGUGUGAUGGGCCCUGGCGUCUCGUUCGCGAGACGGGCCCGAAAGGCAGCGGCGGCGUCGACCCGAUGAGCCAGAGCGUAUGGGGACUUUUGUCACACGUUUGCGGUGCGGACCGGCGCCUGCUUGACUUUUCUGAUUAUCCAGGUUGACCUCGGAUCAGGUAGGGAUACCCGCUGAACUUAAGC
rnacentral:misc_RNA from 1 species